AAUGGGCUCCUAGGAAGAGGUAGUAGGUUGCAUAGUUUUAGGGCAGGGAUUUUGCCCACAAGGAGUUAACUAUACAACCUGCUGCCUUUCUUAGGGCUCUAUUAUU
ensembl:miRNA mdo-let-7d mdo-let-7d